UACAGAGGUCUCAAGCGUUGUUCGGAUUCAUUGGGCGUAAAGCGUGCGUAGGCGGUUGGCAAAGUCAGCUGUGAAAGCCCCGGGCUCAACCUGGGAAUGGCGGUUGAAACUAGUCGACUCGAAUCUGGCAGAGGGGGGUGGAAUUCCACGUGUAGCAGUGAAAUGCGUAGAGAUGUGGAGGAACACCGAUGGCGAAGGCAGCCCCCUGGGCUGAGAUUGACGCUCAGGCACGAAAGCGUGGGGAGCAAACAGG
rnacentral:rRNA from 1 species